GCCCCAACACGGGAGCCCAUGUCCAGUGAGAGCCGAGGCGGAGCAGUGGAGGGUCAAAGGGCCCCAAGAAGGAAUGCGUUUGAGGAGCGACCGUAUGAGCCAGAACAGUACUACCAGGAAAACUUCGGCCCCAAGGCCGACCUAUUCUCAAACUUUAAAUGGGUUCCAAGCGAGCUGAGCCGAUGCUAAAAGACACUUGUUAACUCUCUGGGAAGGAAGGCCACACCACAACCAAUCUCGAAUACGACCUCAGAUCAGACGAGACAACCCGCUGAACUUAAGCAUAUCAGUAAGCGGAGGAAAAGAAAUGCUGGAAAAGGGAACCCUGGUGUCCUGGUUACGGGGGACGAUGGUAACAAAUUUGAUUCAGGGGUCUAGGGUGACUUAACUCAAUGUUUAAUUGAAUUGUCUGUUAAGAAUGAGUACUUUGUCAAAUGUAAUUAUAAUUUGUAACCUCAAACUCUUUUUAUUAAGUUGAUGGAAAAGUGCCCUUAUGCAUCAUGUUUCCCAUCUUCUCUCAGAGCUCUGAAUAUCUAUAUGACUGCAAAACCUGUUAUUACUGAUGUACACCGUCCUUUACUUGAAUUUUUGUGUACUCUUUCUAUAUAUUGUUACAACCCCUCCCUUUCGGCAGCUAAUUACUUCCUGCAGGAGUUGGCUGAAAGGGAGGGUCGUUAGGGCAAGUUGCUCACACCUGGCUAGGCCUCUACCCAAGGUGAUAUAAGCCAGCCUGGUCUCAUUGUCUCUCUCUCUCCUAGGCUCCACGCUGCUACAGUUUGUUGGUUCUUGGUUCUUUUUGAUGGCUUCCUUUUACACUCAACAGCAGCACACACAUCUCACUCAUCCAUGCACUACAAUCACCACUGAUGCCACUACUCUCCACACCUCAUGCUAUUGG
ensembl:lncRNA